rnacentral:rRNA from 1 species
AUGAACGCUGGCGGCGUGCCUAAUACAUGCAAGUCGAGCGAACGGACGAGAAGCUUGCUUCUCUGAUGUUAGCGGCGGACGGGUGAGUAACACGUGGAUAACCUACCUAUAAGACUGGGAUAUCUUCGGGAAACCGUAGCUAAUACCGGAUAAUAUUUUGAACCGCAUGGUUCAAAAGUGAAAGACGGUCUUGCUGUCACUUAUAGAUGGAUCCGCGCUGCAUUAGCUAGUUGGUAAGGUAACGGCUUACCAAGGCAACGAUGCAUAGCCGACCUGAGAGGGUGAUCGGCCACACUGGAACUGAGACACGGUCCAGACUCCUACGGGAGGCAGCAGUAGGGAAUCUUCCGCAAUGGGCGAAAGCCUGACGGAGCAACGCCGCGUGAGUGAUGAAGGUCUUCGGAUCGUAAAACUCUGUUAUUAGGGAAGAACAUAUGUGUAAGUAACUGUGCACAUCUUGACGGUACCUAAUCAGAAAGCCACGGCUAACUACGUG